rnacentral:rRNA from 1 species
GCCCUACGGGGGGCAGCAGUGAGGAAUAUUGGUCAAUGGGCGAGAGCCUGAACCAGCCAAGUCGCGUGAGGGAAGACGGUCCUAUGGAUUGUAAACCUCUUUUGCCGGGGAGCAAAAAGCGGUACGUGUACCGCAUCGAGAGUACCCGGAGAAAAAGCAUCGGCUAACUCCGUGCCAGCAGCCGCGGUAAUACGGAGGAUGCGAGCGUUAUCCGGAUUUAUUGGGUUUAAAGGGUGCGCAGGCGGGCCUUUAAGCCGGCGGUGAAAUCGCGGGGCCCAACCCCGCC